GGUUAAGCGACUAAGCGUACACGGUGGAUGCCCUGGCAGUCAGAGGCGAUGAAGGACGUGCUAAUCUGCGAAAAGCGUCGGUAAGGUGAUAUGAACCGUUAUAACCGGCGAUGUCCGAAUGGGGAAACCCAGUGCAAUUCGUUGCACUAUCGUUAACUGAAUACAUAGGUUAACGAGGCGAACCGGGGGAACUGAAACAUCUAAGUACCCCGAGGAAAAGAAAUCAACCGAGAUUCCCCCAGUAGCGGCGAGCGAACGGGGAGCAGCCCAGAGUCUGAAUCAGCUUGUGUGUUAGUGGAACGGUCUGGAAAGUCCGACGGUACAGGGUGAUAGUCCCGUACACCAAAAUGCACAGGUUGUGAACUCGAAGAGUAGGGCGGGACACGUGGUAUCCUGUCUGAAUAUGGGGGGACCAUCCUCCAAGGCUAAAUACUCCUGACUGACCGAUAGUGAACCAGUACCGUGAGGGAAAGGCGAAAAGAACCCCGGCGAGGGGAGUGAAAAAGAACCUGAAACCGUGUACGUACAAGCAGUGGGAGCACCUUCGGGUGUGACUGCGUACCUUUUGUAUAAUGGGUCAGCGACUUAUAUUCUGUAGCAAGGUUAACCGUAUAGGGGAGCCGCAGGGAAACCGAGUCUUAACUGGGCGUUAAGUUGCAGGGUAUAGACCCGAAACCCGGUGAUCUAGCCAUGGGCAGGUUGAAGGUUGGGUAACACUAACUGGAGGACCGAACCGACUAAUGUUGAAAAAUUAGCGGAUGACUUGUGGCUGGGGGUGAAAGGCCAAUCAAACCGGGAGAUAGCUGGUUCUCCCCGAAAGCUAUUUAGGUAGCGCCUCGUGAAUUCAUCUUCGGGGGUAGAGCACUGUUUCGGCUAGGGGGUCAUCCCGACUUACCAACCCGAUGCAAACUACGAAUACCGAAGAAUGUUAUCACGGGAGACACACGGCGGGUGCUAACGUCCGUCGUGAAGAGGGAAACAACCCAGACCGCCAGCUAAGGUCCCAAAGUCAUGGUUAAGUGGGAAACGAUGUGGGAAGGCACAGACAGCCAGGAUGUUGGCUUAGAAGCAGCCAUCAUUUAAAGAAAGCGUAAUAGCUCACUGGUCGAGUCGGCCUGCGCGGAAGAUGUAACGGGGCUAAACCAUGCACCGAAGCUGCGGCAGCGACACGAUGUGUUGUUGGGUAGGGGAGCGUUCUGUAAGCCUGCGAAGGUGACCUGUGAGGGUUGCUGGAGGUAUCAGAAGUGCGAAUGCUGACAUAAGUAACGAUAAAGCGGGUGAAAAGCCCGCUCGCCGGAAGACCAAGGGUUCCUGUCCAACGUUAAUCGGGGCAGGGUGAGUCGACCCCUAAGGCGAGGCCGAAAGGCGUAGUCGAUGGGAAACAGGUUAAUAUUCCUGUACUUGGUGUUACUGCGAAGGGGGGACGGAGAAGGCUAUGUUAGCCGGGCGACGGUUGUCCCGGUUUAAGCAUGUAGGCUGGUUAUCCAGGCAAAUCCGGAUAAUCAAGGCUGAGGUGUGAUGACGAGGCACUACGGUGCUGAAGUAACAAAUGCCCUGCUUCCAGGAAAAGCCUCUAAGCAUCAGGUAACAUCAAAUCGUACCCCAAACCGACACAGGUGGUCAGGUAGAGAAUACCAAGGCGCUUGAGAGAACUCGGGUGAAGGAACUAGGCAAAAUGGUGCCGUAACUUCGGGAGAAGGCACGCUGGUGUGUAGGUGAAGCCCCUGCGGGUGGAGCUGAGACCAGUCGAAGAUACCAGCUGGCUGCAACUGUUUAUUAAAAACACAGCACUGUGCAAACACGAAAGUGGACGUAUACGGUGUGACGCCUGCCCGGUGCCGGAAGGUUAAUUGAUGGGGUUAUCCGUAAGGAGAAGCUCUUGAUCGAAGCCCCGGUAAACGGCGGCCGUAACUAUAACGGUCCUAAGGUAGCGAAAUUCCUUGUCGGGUAAGUUCCGACCUGCACGAAUGGCGUAAUGAUGGCCAGGCUGUCUCCACCCGAGACUCAGUGAAAUUGAACUCGCUGUGAAGAUGCAGUGUACCCGCGGCAAGACGGAAAGACCCCGUGAACCUUUACUAUAGCUUGACACUGAACAUUGAGCCUUGAUGUGUAGGAUAGGUGGGAGGCUUUGAAGCGUGGACGCCAGUCUGCGUGGAGCCAACCUUGAAAUACCACCCUUUAAUGUUUGAUGUUCUAACGUUGGCCCCUAAUCGGGGUUGCGGACAGUGUCUGGUGGGUAGUUUGACUGGGGCGGUCUCCUCCCAAAGCGUAACGGAGGAGCACGAAGGUUAGCUAAUCCUGGUCGGACAUCAGGAGGUUAGUGCAAUGGCAUAAGCUAGCUUGACUGCGAGCGUGACGGCGCGAGCAGGUGCGAAAGCAGGUCAUAGUGAUCCGGUGGUUCUGAAUGGAAGGGCCAUCGCUCAACGGAUAAAAGGUACUCCGGGGAUAACAGGCUGAUACCGCCCAAGAGUUCAUAUCGACGGCGGUGUUUGGCACCUCGAUGUCGGCUCAUCACAUCCUGGGGCUGAAGUAGGUCCCAAGGGUAUGGCUGUUCGCCAUUUAAAGUGGUACGCGAGCUGGGUUUAGAACGUCGUGAGACAGUUCGGUCCCUAUCUGCCGUGGGCGCUGGAGAAUUGAGGGGGGCUGCUCCUAGUACGAGAGGACCGGAGUGGACGCAUCACUGGUGUUCGGGUUGUCAUGCCAAUGGCACUGCCCGGUAGCUAAAUGCGGAAGAGAUAAGUGCUGAAAGCAUCUAAGCACGAAACUUGCCCCGAGAUGAGUUCUCCCUGAGACUUUAAGUCUCCUGAAGGAACGUUGAAGACGACGACGUUGAUAGGCCGGGUGUGUAAGCGCAGCGAUGCGUUGAGCUAACCGGUACUAAUGAACCGUGAGGCUUAACCUU
rnacentral:rRNA from 1 species